CAUUGCAAGCUGUGGCUGACAGCCUUGAAGAGAACCCUGUAAAAGUUGAUCAUCAGUCUCUUUUGUUCUCUGCUGAGGCUUCACCAAAUGCACGUGUGUUUGCUGUGAGGCUUGAAAUAGAGUUAAAGUUGUUUGCAGGGGGUCACCCUGUUUUCUACUGGUGUGAAUAGCUCCAGAAUUAACUUAACAUAAAAACAUGCUGGAUCAGGCCCAGGGCUUAUCUAAACCAGAAUCCUGUUUCACACACUGGCCCACCAGCUGCCUCCUAGAAGCCCACAGACAAGAGGUGAGGGCACACCCUCUUUCUUGCUGUUGCUCUCCUGCAACUGGUAUUUAGAGGUGUGUUGCCUCUUAGGCUGGAGGUGGCCUAUAGCCACCAGACAUUGAUAGACCUGUCUUUCAUGAAUUUAUCUAAGCCCCUUUUGAGGCCAUCAAAGUUAGUGGCCAUCACCACAUCCCAUGGUAUCAUUUUCACUUGCUUACAUGGAACCACAUUUGCCGUUUUGUCACACACUCACCCUGUUUGGAGAGAUUCUUUUGGAGUUCCUCACAAUUUGUUUUGGAUCUCACUACCCUAAAUAGUUUAGUGUCAUCUACAAAUUUGGCCACAUCGCUGCUUACCCCUGCUUCUAGAUCAUUUAUGAAUAAAUUAAAAAGCACCGGUCCCAGUACAGAUCCCUGGGGGAACCCACUUCUUAUUUCCCUCCAUUGUAAAAACUGUCCAUUUAUUCCUAUCCUCUGUUUCCUGUCCUCCAACCAGAUCCACAUAUGAACCUAUCCUCUUAUCCCAGGACUACUGAGUUUACUAAAGAGCCUUUGGUGGCCUAUUAACACUCUCAAAGAACUCCAAAAGAAAUCUCAUGUGUGGAGGCAAUAGCUCGGCUAAAAGCUCACCUUCCAGCUCUCUGAAUCACAAAAAUUGGCUUUCCAGAUUGCUGCUGAAAUAUGGCAGUCCCAACAGGAUGGGCCAUGAUACAAGUCACAUGCUCAACUAUUGAACUGCAGCCUGUACUGACUCAUCGUGCCUUCCAGUGCUCUUCACCUCCACCACUGCCCAGGACUCAGUUCACAACCCAGCAGCAUGCCAAGUGACAUUCUUUGGUACCAAAGAUCAGAAAGGUGGACUCUGGGGCAAGAGGUGUGUCAUGAUGGGAAAGCAGCUGUCUCACCAAAACACCUGUUCUCCAUAAUCUGUUGUUGGCUUGACUUCUUUAUCAUAAAAGAGAUUUCCUUUCAGUAUACUAACAUUUUAAUUUGUCUCUUAUGUACUGCUCAAUAUUAAAAGAAUUGGUGUUCUCCUUCUCCAAUAUAAUUUAGAAGAAACAUGCUUUUUUGACCUCUGAAUUAAACUGAAAUGCUCCCUUUGUAUGCA